rnacentral:lncRNA from 1 species
AAAUAACCUCUGAAAUUAGUGGCAUAAAAAGUGACUCUGUCAAAGAAAGUAAACAUGGACACAUUCCCCUCACUGGAUGUUUAACUUAACACCCCAAUGUAAGUUAAAGGACCGCUGGCUAUGUAGCUUAAGGCAGCCUAGAUGCAUCAUUAGCUGCACAACUGCUUGAGACGUUGACUUCAUUGCUCAGCUUUGAAACUGUGCGUGUGUGAGGACGCUCAGCUCCACAGCCUGGCCCCUGGGCAUUGUCUGAUGCGGUGGGUUGAUUGGGCUGCUCCACUACAGCCCUUCCUGAGAAGGUGCAGAACACAUUUUACAAGUUUUCCUGUGUUUGUAAAGCAGCAUAUUGGCGCAAGGCAACAGAUCUGCUGUGCUUAGGAGAAGUAUGCGGCCCGCUAGGCAGCGCUUAACUGGGCCCUUGGAACAUGGAGCACCAACUUCGUACUGAGAGGCAGCAAGCCUGGUGUCUGCAGGCCCCGCACCUCCCACAGGUCCAGGGAUGAGCAGGCCCAGAGUGGGAGGGGAGGUAAGGGUGAGGAAGCUUGCAAACUUGGACAUGGUUUACACCACAUCUGCUCUCAUUCCAUUGGUGAAAGCGUGUCAUACGGCCAAGCCCAUUUCAACGGGGCAGGAUGUAUAUUCCUCUUCUUGGAGGCACUGCAGAUCACAUGCAGAGCGCAUUUCCAACCACAUGCUAGGUGCCUCAUCUGUCAUAUCCAAAGCAAAGGAACUGGUCAAGGGGGCAAGUGAAGGAGUCCAUCACACUGGAGAGCAGGCAUGCUGCUCACUCUCCCAGGGGCAGGAGCAGCUCAAGUUGUGAUUGUGCCUACACUUGGUCAUGGAGUAUAUCUUCAGGAAUGUUCAUUGGAAGGAGGAAUGAAGAAGAAAUUGACCCGUCCAUUUUCUCUUGCCUCUCUUUGGCCAAGAUGGCACUAUGAGGAAUUAACUACCUUGCAUUCCAGCUUGCUGCUGCAUUUGUGCAGGAAAUAUUAAGCUUGCUGAUGAGAAAGGAGAAGAAGUAGAGAAAACAACGUACAGUUAGGCCUAUAGGAAUCUGCCGAGGGGAACUGACAAGCCCUGCUCAGUCUUGCCCACUGUCUGCUUGGAGGAUCAGGAUGAGUUUGUUUACUUGAGACUACAUAGGAGUCAAGAACACAUUAAUCCUGUGAUGAAUGGACACCUUGCCUCUUCUUAUCCUUGGCCUCCUUAUGAAACUACCACCAUCUUGUUAAUUUGGGAAGUUUGUUGCUUUAUCAUUUCUUACUAUUGAGAAAUCUAAAUGGCAUAACAUUGUAAUACAAUUGUAAUCUUUACAUUCCCUUAAAUAUAUCUGGAGCAAUUUUCCAUUUUAUUACAUAAUCUUCUACAGUACAAUUUUAAUAAAAC